rnacentral:tRNA from 1 species
UGGCUCAGUUGGUAGAGCAUGGUAUUUGCAAUGCCAGGGUUGUGGGUUUGAUUCCCAC